UACGUAAGGACCGAGCGUUGUCCGGAAUCAUUGGGCGUAAAGGGUACGUAGGCGGGUUUUUAAGUUAGAAGUCAAAGGCUAUAGCUCAACUAUAGUAAGCUUUUAAAACUGCUCAUCUUGAGGUAUGGAAGGGAAAGUGGAAUUCCUAGUGUAGCGGUGAAAUGCGCAGAUAUUAGGAGGAAUACCGGUGGCGAAGGCGACUUUCUGGCCAUUAUCUGACGCUGAGGUACGAAAGCGUGGGUAGCAAACAGG
rnacentral:rRNA from 1 species